AACUCCAACUUUAAUAACAAAAAAGAGAGUUGUAAUCAAUCCACUCAAUAUGCUUAAGAAUGCACAAUAACAAAAUUAGUCUUAUGACUUCAACAUAAACAUGUCAUAAAAUUAAAGUAAACGUUCCCAACCCGAUAUUAUAUAAUCAGAGUAAGACGCUGCUAAAGAAAAUGUUAAACUAAGAAGCAACUCCAAGAGCUAGCUUUCACUUACUUCCC
rnacentral:lncRNA from 1 species